CCGGCGCACGGGUGAGUAACGCGUAUGCGACCUGCCCGUUGCAGGGGGGAUAAUCGGGAGAAAUCCCGUCUAAUACCGCGUAACGCCGCGGGGCUGCAUGGCCCUGCGGCCAAAGGGAGCGAUUCCGGCAACGGAUGGGCAUGCGUGACAUUAGCUAGUUGGCGGGGCAACGGCCCACCAAGGCGACGAUGUCUAGGGGUUCUGAGAGGAAGGUCCCCCACACUGGUACUGAGACACGGACCAGACUCCUACGGAAGGCAGCAG
rnacentral:rRNA from 1 species